rnacentral:rRNA from 1 species
CAGUAGCCGCGGGAAUACGAAGGGGGCUAGCGUUGUUCGGAAUUACUGGGCGUAAAGCGCACGUAGGCGGACAUUUAAGUCAGGGGUGAAAUCCCGGGGCUCAACCCCGGAACUGCCUUUGAUACUGGGUGUCUAGAGUAUGGAAGAGGUGAGUGGAAUUCCGAGUGUAGAGGUGAAAUUCGUAGAUAUUCGGAGGAACACCAGUGGCGAAGGCGGCUCACUGGUCCAUUACUGACGCUGAGGUGCGAAAGCGUUGGGAGCAAACAGGAUUAGAUACCCCAGUAGUCCCUGUCUCUUAUAC